rnacentral:rRNA from 1 species
UCCUUCCCUUCCACUGAAUACCAGCUAGCAUAGGUACUACGAGCCCUCUGUCCCACGCAUCUAACAUUACGUAUGGUUCACCGAUUCCACUGAAACUUUCAUCUAAAGAAGCGGAGUAGAGUGCGCUUUAGGUGAAGGGCCAUAAGUCUCUUCUUGGAUUUAUCUUUAUUCACUGAUCUGAGAGAAUAAAAAAUUCUUAUUGAUUCCACAGGGGGAGGUAGAGUUCUUGAAUGAAGUCUAUCUAAACAGAAGAUGAACUUCUCAAAUCAGGCUAGGCCUCUCCAGUUGAGCUGGGCGAUGGGGACCAGGAUGCGCUAGCAAUCGGCAUAUAGGAAAGUGAAAUGUAAGCCUUCCCGACAUGGUAUACUGCACCUUGCAUUCAUGAUAUAUACAUUCAACUCUACCUCAGAGAAAGGGUGAAAGCACACCCACACACUGUUUUUCUUUCACGGCAUGCUAUGGUUCCGCUUAUCUCCGAUGGUCUUCUAGACUUAGAAGAAGUCGUGUCCCUUCUGGACAUCUGCAAAGUACUUCCACAGCGAUUCCUCUUUAAGUAUGGGGACAAAAUUAUGGGGAAAGAUAGAAAGAUUGGGCCAUUGCACGGUCACCCUCACUGAACCAAGAAGAAUCUGAACUACGAUUCAGCCCAAGUCUUACCGAAAUCGGAUUUCCUUUUCGUGCCCUAUAUUAUAUAAAGAAAAAUAUGCUUUAUCUAUAAAAAAGAUUUCCCCUUUUUCUUCCCAGUCCAAUAUGUAAAUCAAAGGUCUUCAAACAAAGAAAGAGACUUUGGAUAGAACCAUAUGGAAUGCUAGGGUCUGUACCCUACUUUUUCUAUAAAGUCUUCAUACUUCCUCUAGGCAAUCUCUGAGAAAGAAAAAAAAUCACAGAGAUACUUACGAUUACGCGAAGUCACUUAUAAAGGUACCAUCUUGUAAAUCUCAUACUUCAUAGCAGAAGGUUACAAAAUAUACAAAAAAUUUUAAGUUGUCAGUUCACCACAAGGCAUGCAUCAAAGGAAGCUAUCCUAUUAGCUAUUGGCGCCAAGGAAUCCAAUCUUUCUUCUUUUAUGAGAUUUUUAGUUGACUCAUAGGAUUACUUGUUUUCUCUUAGGACAUUCCUAUGCUCCUAUUUUAGAUCUUCUGAAGCUUGAAUUACACUUUCAAGUAGGCCUUGGGAAAGUACUUUUGAGGUGAGGUAGAACCAAAGGGGGGUAGAUUUGGCUCUCUUUCUUCCAGCUUAUCUUUUCUCUUCUCCUGUCUGAUCCACCUAGUCCUUUCCCUAGCGAGCUUGGUUGGAUAAAGCUUGAAGAACAGAGGAGGCUAGGUUAGUCGAAAGAUGGUUAUCGGUUCAAGGAUGCAAGGUGACCCUGCUUUUCAGGGUGAGAAGGGGUAGAGAAAAUGGCCCGAGCCAAUGUUCGAGUACUAAGCGCUACGACGUUCAAGUAACCCAUGCCAUAAAACUAGGAAAAGCUUGAACGGCCUUCAACAAAAGGCUACCUGUACCUGAAAUCGACAUAGAUAGGUAGAGAACACCUAGGGGUGCCAUACAACUCUCUGACAGGAAAAAGGCAAAAUAGCCCUGUAACUUCAGGAGAAGGGGUGCCCCCCUCACAAAGAGGGUCGAAGUCACCAGGCCCGGGCAACUGUUUACCAAAAACACAGAUCUCCGCGAAGUUGUAAAACCAUGUAUGGGGGCUAACGCGUGCCCAGUGUUGGAAGGUCAAGGAAGUUGAUGACCUGAUGACAUGGGAGUCGGCGACCGAAGCCCUGGUGAACGGCGCCCAAAACUAUAACGGUCUGUAAGCAGCGAAAUUCCUUAUCGGGUAAGUUUCGACCCACACGAAUGAUGUAACGAUCUGGGCACAGUCUCGGAGAGAGGCUCAGUGAAAUAGACAUGUCCGUGAAUAUGCGGACUACAUGCACCUGGACAGAAAGACCCUAUGAAGCUUUACUGUUCCCCGGGAUUGGCUUUGGGCCUUUCCUGCGCAGCUUAGGUGGAAGGCAAAGAAAGCCCCCUUCUAGGGGGGCUGAGCCUUCAGUGAGAUACCACUCUGGAAGGGCUAGAAUUUGAAUCUUAUGUCAGGACCUACGGGCUAAGGGACAGUCUCAGGUAUACUGUUUCUAUGGGGUGUAGGCCUCUCAAAAGGGAACGGAGGUGUGCAAAGGUUUCCUCGGGCCGAACGGAGAUUGGCCCACGAGUGCAAAGGCAUAAGGGAGCUUGACUGCAAGACCCAUCCAUCGAGUAGGGAUGAAAGUCAGCCUCAGUGAUCCAAUAGUACCGAGUAGAAGGGUCGUCGCUCAACGGAUAAAAGUGACUAACGGGAUAACAGGCUGAUCUUCCCCAAGAGUUCACAUCAACAGGAAGGUUUGGCACCUCGAUGUUGGCUCUUCGCCACUUGGGGCUGUAGUAUGUUCCAAGGGUUAGGCUGUUCGCCCAUUAAAGCGGUACGUGAGCUGGGUUCAGAAUGUCAUGAGACAGUUCGGUCCUAGUGUGGGCAUUAGAGCAUUGACAAGACCUUUCCCUAGUAUGAGAGGACCGAGAAAGAUGCACAUAUGGUGUACCAGUUAUCAUGCCCAUGGUAAACGCUGGGUAGCCAAGUGCGGAGCGGAUAAUUGCUGAAAGAAUAUAAGUAGUAAGCCCACCCCAAGAUGAAUGUUCUGCUAUUCCGACUUCCCCAGAGUCGUCGAUAGCACAGCCGAGACAGCGCGGCUAGAUAGAGAAACAGAAGUUUUGAGAAUGAAAGAGAAUGUCGCGGCGAGACGAGCAGUUUAUCAUUACGAUACAUGUCAAGUGGAAGUGCAGUGAUGUAUGCAGCUGAGGCAUCCUAACAGAUCGAAAGACUUGAACCU